AGUCACGCACAUUAGUCAAGCUAAGUAGGAAGGUCUUGACCCAAUUUAAUUAAGAAUUAAAUUAUGGGUCAUUUGGAAUUUGGUUCUGUCUAUGUUCAGCUAGCACUGAACAUGAGGUACAUGCUAAAUUUCAUGGAUGAACAACUAAUUAAGUCUGUAUUUCGGGUCAAUCAAGUUUUAAUUAAUAUAAUUGAACUUGAUCAGGACUCAAUUGUUGAGAUU
rnacentral:lncRNA from 1 species